UACAGAGGUCUCAAGCGUUGUUCGGAUUCAUUGGGCAUAAAGGGUGCGUAGGUGGCGCCGUAAGUCAGGUGUGAAAUUUCGGAGCUUAACUCCGAAACUGCAUUUGAUACUGCGGUGCUUGAGGACUGGAGAGGAGACUGGAAUUUACGGUGUAGCAGUGAAAUGCGUAGAGAUCGUAAGGAAGACCAGUGGCGAAGGCGGGGUCUCUGGACAGUUCCUGACACUGAGGCACGGAAGGCUAGGGGAGCGAACGGG
rnacentral:rRNA from 1 species